GAUCGAUAAAAGGAUUCUUCGUAAAAGAUGUUUGACUCAUCCGGGAAUCGAACUUUGCACCCUGCUUCAGAACAUUCGAAUGCUGGUUACUAGUCGAAGAAACAUCGUCACGGAAAUUGGACAAAAUAGAAAAUAAAUAAUGAUUCGGUAGAAGACUGAAAUUUCACGAAAUCUAAUUUUAGCCAGUUAAACACGUUUCGUUGGCAUAUUAAUAGCGUAUUGUACUUUAUUGUUCGAUAAAAAACGCACAAUACGGUGCACCAUGCGUGUAAACUCGAUAAGAGGAACAAAUAGAAAUAGAAGAAGAAUUACCAGUUCUGCCUGGCGUAAUCAGCACGUGCACAUUUUCACAGCUCAUAACAGAUCGAUUGAAACUGAACCGUUGGAAAAUCGAUCAUAGAACGUUCCGAAAAGAGAACGCAGGAAAAGAGAAAGAGACAGAGAAUGAAAUCCAGAGUUAUUUACGCUGCUCAUUAACUUACCAACGCGAAUGACAACGACGUACUGAGUUCAAUGAAAAUUCUCAAAUCGAGUUACACGCGAGCAAACAACAUGAAAAUAUGGCGAGAAUAGCAACGACGAUAAGAAGGCUGCAGGGGUCAUUCGCGUGACGAUGAUAGAUUAGAAGGAAAAGUACACAGAGAAAUUUGAUAUAAUCAAGAAUCAAUUAAACUGAAAUAUCCUUUAUAGUCUCAUGAAUGAAAGAGAAAAUAUAAAUUUUCUGGAAAAAUGGAUUUUUAUUCUAUGAGAGAGGAUGAUGAUAUAAAUUUAAUACAACCAAUGACAGACCGUAUGCGUGUCUUAGAAAGAAAUUUGCCAAAAUAUGUUGGGAAGAAAUCGGCCAAUUAAAAAGAUAACCUUGUAUAUAAAAAUGAAAUAAUGGAAACAAUAGAAAAAAAAUAAAUAACUGGAAAUUAACAUUUAUAGAUUUAAAGCAAAGAUGAUCCCUUAAUUUCAGAAACAAUAAUAUAGAAAAAGAAGAUAAAUAAAUAAAGAUUAAUAUGGAAUUAAAGUAUAAAAUAAUCUUGAAUAUCUCUAUAAUAAAACUCGAAUUUGAAAUAAGAUGGAUACUUCUUAAUCCACGGAACCAAAUAACUCGGGACAGAUAAAAAACGAUAAAGAAGCCUUUUAAUCUUGAAAUAUAUUAGCUCCUUGCUAAUGAUUAAAAACACAAGUCUUUAUGACAGAAUAGGAAAUAUACUGUUAUCAGUAAGAUGUUUUGACAGUCAUUAUCUAUGUAAGUCUCAACAGCAUGGAUGAAGGAAGUGUAUAGAAAAAUAUCACACGCGAUUCUCUUGAGUAAUUUUGGUCAAACGAUCAUCAAAACAUAAACUGUAAUUGUUCAAAUGUGAAAAACUAUGGUACAACAGCGAAAAUGUAGAAGUUUACUUUUUCAAGACCCUAAAAGCACUCACGAUCAUGAUGGAAAUAUAUAAAGUUGAACCAGUUAUUUUCGCGUAGUAUGAUCAAGCCGCCUCUGAUAGUGCGUAGGCUGUUGGUACGGCCUUGGCGAUCUUGUAAAUACCGUAAAAUUUUGUGCUUUAGGGUCGGGUGGCUCGUCUGAGAUAAUAAUAAGUGGACUGCAGAUGUUCAUGCAAAUUCAUAUUUCUAUGAAUACAUAUAAUUAAAAAGAAUAAAAACUAAAUACACAUUCAUUUCAUCAGUUACAUGUUGUAACUAUCUUAAAUAUUUUAUAUAUUUUUACAAAUUUUUAUCAUGUGCAUUUUUACACCUUUAUGUUUCCCAUAAAUGAAUAAACUUCCUCAGUAUAAUAAAGCACUUCAUUUAUUAUAAAAUAUUAUCGAUUAUAGGAUAGUGAAUUCGACAUAUGUUUCAUGGGCAUAUUGCGUAUGCAUUUAAUGAUACACUGCCCAAAAUAAUUGGACAAUAAUUUCGUCUAUUGAAAAUAAUUAAAUUUCUUAUAACGACGUAAAAAUGUGGUAUAUUUACACCAAUAAUGGUUUCCCAUAAAUAAAAUAUACGAUAAAAUAAACAAAUUUAAAAACAUUAAA
rnacentral:lncRNA from 1 species